rnacentral:rRNA from 1 species
UACGGAAGGCAGCAGUGGGGAAUAUUGCACAAUGGGCGCAAGCCUGAUGCAGCCAUGCCGCGUGUAUGAAGAAGGCCUUCGGGUUGUAAAGUACUUUCAGUCGUGAGGAAGGUGUUAAGGUUAAUAACCUUAGCAAUUGACGUUAGCGACAGAAGAAGCACCGGCUAACUCCGUGCCAGCAGCCGCGGUAAUACGGAGGGUGCGAGCGUUAAUCGGAAUUACUGGGCGUAAAGGGCACGCAGGCGGUUAAUUAAGUUGGAUGUGAAAUCCCCGGGCUUAACCUGGGAAUGGCAUUCAAGACUGGUUAGCUAGAGUCUUGUAGAGGGGGUAGAAUUCCAUGUGUAGCGGUGAAAUGCGUAGAGAUGUGGAGGAAUACCGGUGGCGAAGGCGGCCCCUGGGACAAAGACUGACGCUCAUGUGCGAAAGCGUGGGGGAGCAAACGAGGAUUAGACU